GGAUAUAGCUCAGUUUGGUAGAGUGCUUGCCUUGCAUGUGCAAGGCCCUGGGUACAAUCCCCAGCACCA
rnacentral:tRNA from 1 species